rnacentral:rRNA from 1 species
UCGGGAGCUUGCACAGGUGCUGCAUGGCUGUCGUCAGCUCGUGUCGUGAGAUGUUCGGUUAAGUCCGCUAACGAGCGCAACCCUCGCUGUGUGUUAUAUGUGUCACACGGGACUGCCGGUCUUAAGCCGGAGGAAGGUGGGGAUGAUGUCAAGUCAGCAUGGCCUUUAUAUCCUGGGCUACACACACGCUACAAUGGCCAACACAAUAGGUUGCUAAGCCGCGAGGUGGCGCCAAUCCAUAAAGUUGGUCUCAGUUCAGAUUGUAGGCUGCAACCCACCUGCAUGAAGAUGGAGUUGCUAGUAACCGCAGGUCAGCUAUACUGCGGUGAAUACGUUCCCGGGGCUU